CAAAUCAAUUUCAGUGCUCUGUAAGACCCCGCAUGGGUCGAAAGUAUUUUUGCCUAGUCACGCGCGCGACUCUCCCGUUCACUUCCAAGUGGAGUAGAAUUCAAUAAGUUCAACUACACGCGGUCUUGCGACAUUGACGACAUUUUCUUUUGCCUUGCCCGAGGACCAUCUGACGGGGGACUGCAUUUAAUAGUGUAAGCGGUGAUAACGUACAUUCACUGGAUUCAGUGAGCCCACUGGAGACAUGGCUGAUGAGCGGGAGAUGGGAUAAGAGAUCGGUUUUUGGUCUUUGGAAAUGGGCGGUUGGAGUGCAAGUUUUGGAUGAGCAACAAGUUUGCAUUCGUCUUGCUAAGUUAUUUCUUUCUAUUUUAAGUUUUUGUGUAAAAUGUCAUUACUCUUGCGUCAAUUAUUGCUAGAAGGAAAGCAUUGAACAGCAUUAUCAUCACACAGAACUUUGUGAAAACCAGGUUCCUGUUCCUGUUCCUGUUCUGAUGACGUGUCUUUAAUUUUCAUACAUUUGAAUAUCAAGUCUCCCGAAAAAUAAGAAAAUAACUUUGAA